GCUAGUGGCAAUGCCUGGUUGACUUUAUCAAGAUAUAAAAGAUAAGCAGGGCCAGGCCUGGUUAGUGUUUGAAUGGGGAACCUCCAAGGAAUACUAGGAGUAUAGGCU
rnacentral:rRNA from 1 species